rnacentral:rRNA from 1 species
CCUACGGGUGGCUGCAGUGGGGGAUAUUGCACAAUGGUGGGAACCCUGAUGCAGCGACGCCGCGUGUGGGAAGACGGUCCACUGUAUCGUAAACCACUGUCCCCAGGGACGAAAAUGACGGUACCUGGGGAGGAAGCUCCGGCUAACUACGUGCCAGCAGCCGCGGUAAUACGUAGGGAGCGAGCGUUGUCCGGAAUUACUGGGUGUAAAGGGAGCGUAGGCGGGGAUGCAAGUUGGGGGUCAAAACUACCGGCUCAACUGGUAGUCGCACUCAAAACUGCAGCUCUUGAGUGAAGUAGAGGCAGGCGGAAUGCGUAGUGUAGCGGUGAAAUGCGUAGAUAUCAGGCGGAACACCAGUGGCGAAGGCGGCCUGCUGG